CCGCAAGACACGUAGAAGACCAUCCAGCCAACAUAACAGCCUUGCAUCAUGUCUACCAAGUGCUUCCGCUUAGUUUACAUUGAGAAGCACAACAAGUUGGACGAUCUGUGGUUCAUCGUAGACUGUCACGUGUACAACGUCACGUCGUUCGCCGAGGAGCAUCCUGUCGGCCCCAGAAUCCUCCUCACAGUCGCCGGCGGAGAUGCGUCCAACGGCUUCAAGUCCGUCGGCGACUCUGACUCCGCCAAGGAGAUGGAGAAGCACUGUAUCGGCAAUUUCCACCCUGAUGAUGUGUGGCAGCUGAAGGAAUCUUUACAGGGACACAAUGCAGCGUCGCCGGGAUCGUCGCCGUCUUUAUCCUUAUCGGCAUCUGCUUCUGCUGUGUCCUUCGGACUCUGCUGUAAGACAGUGGAGGAAACACUCGUAGAACGUUUAGCGAAAGGAGAGCCAACUGCGUUGGCGUGCAGUUGAACCCAUCGUCACAGUGGUCGCUGUGAAGCAUGCUUUCAUCGUCACGCGAAGCACAGCCCACUCUUUUGCAGUUAAACCCCGUUUUAUCUUCUCUAAUUCGGUUGUUGUCCUCGUGGCGACGCCGCCAUUCUUCUUUGGAAAUCGUAGUCUUGGCGGCCAAGUCCGAAAGCACCGGAGGCGUUUGCAUGUGUGGUUUGUCCUGCUGAGAUUUUUCUUUGUUUCGUUUUGUUUGCUCUCCGUGUGAUCUACUCACGCGGCGCGCGUUCAUCUGAUCCCCUCCACCUCCCCGCUUGUCCUUCCUCUGAGACGCUCCUUAGCACCACUUUCAGAAACACCACAAUGUGUUUUGUGCGGCGCACCGCAGAAGCCCUUAGCGGAGAAGAGCGGAAGGGCACGAAGCAGGCGUUGUGCGCAGUGCACGCGACGUCCUCAUGAAAGAAAAACAUCAAAAGCUGCCAAUACGGAAAGUGGACGUGGAGUUACUCUCUUUCUCUGAUGCGACCUCAAAGGCCCUCAAUAGAGCCGAUGGAUAUCGUCUCGCUUCGGAGACACGCGAAAGACAGCCCCAGUGCGCAGACCGUCUGUGUCUGAGAGGGCGUGGAAGCAAAACUAGGAGAGGGAACGUAAGUUUGCUCGCCGCAGCGGUCGCUGGUCAACGAAGUUUUCUCGUGAUCGUUAUGGCGGCUCAAAUGUGGAGUCGCUGCCUCUCUUCCUGCGCGUGGCGGUUCCGGGACCACGAAGUAGCGCGGUGGUGAGGCGCUUUGCGUAGGUAAGCGUACUGGGAGUGCUGUGUGAGGCACUGACGCUGUUGUUCUUUCUCGUUUUCUCUCCCAAUGUUCUCGUCGUUAUGAUCGAUGGGUGACCACAUCCUACACUGCUUCUAACCUCCUACCUUUCUGUAAUCGUGGAUGUUUUACGCGCUUUCCCUGUGUUGUUGUACGUGCAACGUACGCCCUUAUCUGCGCAUCUGAGAGCGGUGUGUUCUCCGUAUCUCCUCAAUUUUCGGCGGCGUUUUAUUAUGCGUUUCCUUUACACAG
rnacentral:misc_RNA from 1 species